UGGGGAAUUUUGGACAAUGGGCGCAAGCCUGAUCCAGCAAUGCCGCGUGCAGGAUGAAGGCCUUCGGGUUGUAAACUGCUUUUGUACGGAACGAAACGGCCCUUUCCAAUACAAGGGGUCAAUGACGGUACCGUAAGAAUAAGCACCGGCUAACUACGUGCCAGCAGCCGCGGUAAUACGUAGGGUGCGAGCGUUAAUCGGAAUUACUGGGCGUAAAGCGUGCGCAGGCGGUUUUGUAAGACAGAUGUGAAAUCCCCGGGCUCAACCUGGGACCUGCAUUUGUGACUGCAAGGCUGGAGUACGGCAGAGGGGGAUGGAAUUCCGCGUGUAGCAGUGAAAUGCGUAGAUAUGCGGAGGAACACCGAUGGCGAAGGCAAUCCCCUGGGCCUGUACUGACGCUCAUGCACGAAAGCGUGGGGAGCAAACA
rnacentral:rRNA from 1 species